AAGGAUUUAGUUAAAAAAAAAUAAAUAACAUUAAAAUGUCAAUUUAAAAUUACUAUCAAGUAAUCCUUG
rnacentral:tRNA from 1 species